CCCGCCCCGCCCUUGCCCGCACAGGUGUGGCACCCGCCCGCCCCGCCGCACGGAGCCGCCUGCCCGCGGCCACACGCCAGGCGUCACUCGGGCUGGCGCCGGUCUACCUAGGCAGGCGUGGGACCUGUCGGGGGCUUCACGGCAGCGCGGAAGGCCAGCCUGCAGAGAGGCUGGGCCCAGCGCCCUGACUGACCCAGCCCCGCCACGUCCAAGGUUCCCGCCCUCUGGAGGAAGCCGCGCAAUCACUCCGGGGGCGGGGAGAGACAGACAACUGAGAGGAAGGAGGUACCACGGGCACUCUCUCGCGAGAGGGCCGCAGAGCCGCCUUUGACGGGGGCGUGUACCUGGAGAGCAACGGUAAGGACGGAGCCGACGGCUCCGGCGUCGGGUCGGUUCCGGCAUCGACGUAUCGUUUGGUCGCCCCAGAGAGGAGACAGGUUUCUUCAGCUUGCCGCUGAGGAUGUGGCAUCGGCUGCGCUCACCGCCGCCGCCUCUGUGAACUGCGGGAGUUGGGACAGCGGCCAGGGCUAGAUGGGUGGGACGCGAGUCCUCGCCGAAAGCUUGCCCUGUGCGGGGCGCACUUGGAGGCGAGCUCUGGGCCGUGGCGAGUUUUGCAGCCUAAGGUCUUGGCAGGCGCAUUGCUGUGGGCUGCCGGAGAGCAGGCUGGAGUUCGAGACCGCCCACCGGAGAGCAGGCGAGAGUUCGAGGCCUAGGUACAGCGCAUUUCGCUAGGCAUCCCCAAGAAUAUCCGCGUGAUCCUUGUGGCCAGAGUUUGUUGAGCUAAUAUCCCCAGCCCAAACAGUAGAGCACAUCACAUGUCGGCCACCUGGGAGCGUUGAACCUGGUAGUUACUAGGCGCCCCUGGUGGAAAUAAAACUCAUUAUGCCCUAGUUAUGUCUUAGUGCCUGGGUGACGAUGAUGUAGCGGUUAAAGAUUAACUGAGCGCACUUAGAGGUUGUCUUUGUCUACCUAAGGAAAAUAUCAAUAGAUUAAACCCCCAACCUUAAAGAAUCUCCGUGAAUUUUUCUGAGGAAACGUGCAAUAUUGUCAUACAAAAGGCCCCAAAUAUGCAAACAUUGCUUUUUGUUAAAAGUUUGUUUUGUUUUGCAGUGACAUCUGUUUGAGCAGAUGAAUAUGCCAUUGGGAAAGUCAAGGACUGUCGGAGAGGAGGACAUGGCAGACCUUAACUAAAGUGAGGGGGACAGUAGAGCACUAAAAGUUCUAGGAAAGGAGAUGAACUGCUUAUUCCAUCAGAUGAAAAUAUAGUCAGAACAGAUGAGUAGUAGAACUUAAACAUGCCCGGAGUUGCCAGGAAUUUGCAAAAGCCUUGAUAUAAUUCCUGUUGCUGUAGAAAGACUUUCUACAGUCACUAAUAUAUCAAGUUAUGUUCACUAGAAAAAAAGUUUACUUAGUUUAUAGAAAUGGGCUGAAAAAUCCUAAUUACUUAUCUGUGAGGUUAUUUUCAUGAAGGUUAAUCAUCCAGAAACUAUUAGAGAGCCUCGGAAUAUAUUUCUUCUAAUCUGCUCUACCUAUCCCAUUCAAAGGAGGGAAUCUGAAGAUUUAAGGACAAAGAGCAGUUGAAAACUCAGAGCUGUGGUUAAUGGGAGAAUUUCAAGGAUGGUGAAAAAAACUAACAUCAUUGCAUCCCUGUUUUUUGUAUUCUGGACUUUUUAGUUUAGCUCUUGGUAAACUACAUCAGAAAUUCUUUAUGCUAACUCUAACACACAUUUUGGGGUAUUGCUAAUUUAAUCUUUGAAUACUGUUUUUGCUGUUUCAUGAUUAUAUGUUAUGUCCUACCAGCUAGAUUGCCAACUCUUGACUACUGACUGGAAGUUUAUUGUUUAUUCAGCAAAUAAUGAAUUAAGUCAGUGAAGUGAGAGAUUUCGUGUGUAAGGAUUGUUAACUUGAACAUUUCACCAGUUACACACAGUUCAGCCCUACUUAAAUUUUAAAAAUCAUUGUUGGCACUUGACAUUGUUAUGAGGAGUUUUGUAUUUUCAACUUGUAUUUUGAGAGUGUCCUCAUGUGACUGAAGUAUGUGCUACUCUUCUUAAUUGAAUAACCCCAGAAUCUCCAGAAUUGAUAAUUGGAGGAAAUUCUACUGUUGGAAAGAAUGGAUGGAUUAUACAGCCCUGUUUUUUGACUGUUCAUUUUGUCCUUGGAGUCACUACCACUUGGCCUCAAAGUGUGAACAUGUAACCCUUUCCUUAAUACUUUGCUACACAGCUGAGCAGAAACUGUAAAUUUGGAUCCUUUGUCAGUACAACUUAAAAUGGAACAAUUUCAAUGGCUUAGGGUAAGAUAAGUAUGUAAAGAUACUUUUGUAAUAGAAGAAAAAACAUUGGAUAUUAAAAUCACACAGUAGUA
rnacentral:lncRNA from 1 species